GGGUAAGUCCUGUGCGACCAGCUCCCAUCGAAUCCCCCAGGGUAGGAAUACAGCAAGGGUAGAUGGUUGUAGCGGUGCGACAUAGAUCGCUUACCCCUU
rnacentral:SRP_RNA from 1 species